rnacentral:rRNA from 1 species
UACAGAGGGGGCAAGCGUUGUUCGGAAUUACUGGGCGUAAAGGGCGCGUAGGCGGCCUUCUAAGUCGAACGUGAAAUCCCCGGGCUCAACCCGGGAACUGCGUCCGAUACUGGAAGGCUUGAAUCCGGGAGAGGGAUGUGGAAUUCCAGGUGUAGCGGUGAAAUGCGUAGAUAUCUGGAGGAACACCGGUGGCGAAGGCGACAUCCUGGACCGGUAGUUGACGCUGAGGCGCGAAAGCCAGGGGAGCAAAGCGGG